GCGCUUUUUAUCCUACACUACGGAAAUUAUAAAAAUUCAAUGGCCAACCAUUUCAUAAGAUAGAGAGUCGAAAGGGAAGGAAACUCUAUAUCCUCCUUAUAGCUCAAGGUUCAAUGGAUGAGAGAAGCAAAUCUAAGGAAAUAAUUGACCCACACUACCAUGGCAAUUCUUAAUGUCAUGUUCAUGUAUGUAUGAUUUAGUGUAAAAUAGAGAGACAGAAAAAAGUGUAAAAAAGACGAGUAAAUAGGAAAAGAAAAGGUUUAUCCACAAAAGUAAUAGGGCAGUGGCGUAUCUUUUUUUAUUUCCCAAAGGGCAGCGGCAUAUCACGGAG
rnacentral:misc_RNA from 1 species